UACGGAGGAUCCGAGCGUUAUCCGGAUUUAUUGGGUUUAAAGGGUGCGUAGGCGGUUUGAUAAGUUAGAGGUGAAAUGUCGGGGCUCAACCUCGAAACUGCCUCUAAUACUGUUGGACUAGAGAAUAGUUGCGGUAGGCGGAAUGUAUGGUGUAGCGGUGAAAUGCUUAGAGAUCAUACAGAACACCGAUUGCGAAGGCAGCUUACCAAACUAUAUCUGACGUUGAAGCACGAAAGCGUGGGUAGCAAACAGG
rnacentral:rRNA from 1 species